rnacentral:rRNA from 1 species
UCGUAACAAGGUUUCCGUAGGUGAACCUGCGGAAGGAUCAUUACAAGAAGACGCGGCGCCCUCACCGGCGUCGACCUUCAAACCACUGUGUACCAACCAUUCAGUUGCCUCCGGCUGGACUGCACGCCCGCGAGGGAUGCGCGGUCGGAUGGCCCGUAACCAAACACUGUUGAGAUGGCAUCGUCUGAUCUUCAAACAAAUACAAAAGUACAACUUUUAACAAUGGAUCUCUUGGCUCCGGCAUCGAUGAAGAACGCAGCGAAAUGCGAUAGCUAGUGUGAAUUGCAGAUUUCAGUGAAUCAUCGAGUCUUUGAACGCACAUUGCGCCUCUUGGUAUUCCUCGAGGCAUGCCUGUUCGAGCGUCGUUACGCCCCUCAAGCGCAAGCUUGGUGUUGGGGAUCGCCCCUGAGAUACGGCGGCGUCCCUUAAAUGCAUCGGCGGUGCUGGUCCCAGCCCGGAGCGCAGCAGACAUGCGGCUUCCUGGCGGCCCAGCGCCCGCCGGCCAACCCCGUAACUUACCAAACGUCGACCUCGAAUCAGGUAGGGAUACCCGCUGAACUUAAGCAUAUC